AACGAACGCUGGCGGCAUGCCUAACACAUGCAAGUCGAACGAGACCUUCGGGUCUAGUGGCGCACGGGUGCGUAACGCGUGGGAACCUGCCCUUAGGUUCGGAAUAACUCCCCGAAAGGGGUGCUAAUACCGGAUAAUGUCUUCGGACCAAAGAUUUAUCGCCUUUGGAUGGGCCCGCGUUGGAUUAGCUAGUUGGUAGGGUAAAAGCCUACCAAGGCGACGAUCCAUAGCUGGUCUGAGAGGAUGAUCAGCCACACUGGGACUGAGACACGGCCCAGACUCCUACGGGAGGCAGCAGUUGGGAAUAUUGGACAAUGGGCGGAAGGCUGAUCCAGCAAUGCCGCGUGAGUGAUGAAGGCCUUAGGGUUGUAAAGCUCUUUUACCCGGGAUGAUAAUGACAGUACCGGGAGGAUAAGCUCCGGCUAACUCCGUG
rnacentral:rRNA from 1 species